GUGUCAGCCGCCGCGGUAAUACGGAGGGUGCGAGCGUUGUCCGGAUUUAUUGGGUUUAAAGGGUGCGUAGGUGGCCAUUUAAGUCAGUGGUGAAAUACAGCCGCUCAACGGUUGAGGUGCCAUUGAUACUGAUUGGCUUGAAAUAAUUGGAGGCUGCCGGAAUGGAUGGUGUAGCGGUGAAAUGCAUAGAUAUCAUCCAGAACACCGAUUGCGAAGGCAGGUGGCUACGAUUGAUUUGACACUGAGGCACGAAAGCAUGGGGAGCAAACAGGAUUAGAAACCCGAGUAGUCC
rnacentral:rRNA from 1 species